UGUGAGCUUGUCCACGUUGGCCGUGGACAGGUGGCUGCACUUGUCUGUGACAAGUGCCGUCACAGACCUCGUUCCGAUCGCACGUCCCUGUGACAGCGACAACGCAUUCGGAUGUCUGCCCUAUCAACUUUCGAUGCUAUUUUCCGCGCCUACCAUGGUGACCACGCGUAACUGGGAAUCAAGGUUCGAUUCCAGAGAGGGAGACUGAGAAACAGCUAUCACAUGCAAGGAAGGCAGCAGGCGUGCAAAUUACCCACUCCCGACACGGGGAGGUAUUGACA